rnacentral:tRNA from 1 species
UAAAAAAUAAGCUAACUAAGCUAGUGAACUCAUACUUCAUUAAUAAAAGACAAUCUUUUUUUUUUAA